AGUGAACGCUGGCGGUAGGCCUAACACAUGCAAGUCGAACGGCAGCACAGUAAGAGCUUGCUCUUACGGGUGGCGAGUGGCGGACGGGUGAGGAAUACAUCGGAAUCUACUUUUUCGUGGGGGAUAACGUAGGGAAACUUACGCUAAUACCGCAUACGACCUACGGGUGAAAGCAGGGGAUCUUCGGACCUUGCGCGAUUGAAUGAGCCGAUGUCGGAUUAGCUAGUUGGCGGGGUAAAGGCCCACCAAGGCGACGAUCCGUAGCUGGUCUGAGAGGAUGAUUGGACGAAUGGGGAGGGGGACAGGGCACAACAGCGUAGAGGAGGAAGAUGGGGGAUAGAAGGGAGAGUGCGAGCAAGAGGGAGCCAGGCAGGAGGCGUGGGUGAAGAGGGCCGUGGGGUUGUAAAGCUAUGUUGGGGGAAAAGAAAGAAAGCAAGGUUCUGGCCCGCAGUCCUGACGGUACCGAAAAAAUAGGCACGGGCUAACUGCGUGCCGGCAGCCUGGGAAAUAGAUGAGAGCACACGUUCGAUC
rnacentral:rRNA from 1 species